rnacentral:rRNA from 1 species
GCCAGCCGCCGCGGUCAUACGGAGGAUCCAAGCGUUAUCCGGAAUUAUUGGGCGUAAAGAGAUGCGUAGGUGGUUCUUUAAGCAAAAUAUGAAAUCGUAAGGCUCAACCUUACGACUGUGUUUUGAACUGAAGAACUAGAGGAUGGUAGAGGAAGUUGGAAUUCCUGGUGUAGGAGUGAAAUCCGUAGAUAUCAGGAGGAACACCAAUGGCGAAGGCAGACUUCUGGGCCAUUUCUGACACUGAGGCUCGAAAGCGUGGGGAGCGAACCGGAUUAGAUACCCGGGUAGUCCACGCCGUAAACGAUGGAUGCUAGCUGUUAUGGGUAUCGACCCCCGUAGUAGCGAAGCUAACGCGUUAAGCAUCCCGCCUGGGGAGUACGGUCGCAAGAUUAAAACUCAAAGGAAUUGACGGGGACCCGCACAAGCGGUGGAGCGUGUUGUUUAAUUGGAUGGUAAGCCAAGAACCUUACCAAGGUUUGACAUCCUCAGAAUUACUAUGAAAGUAGUGAGUGCUUUAUUGAACUGAGUGACAGGUGUUGCAUGGCCGUCGUCAGCUCGUGUCGUGAGAUGUUGGGUUAAGUCCCGCAACGAGCGCAACCCCUAUGAUUAGUUGGAUUUUUCUAGUCA